UACAGAGGUGGCAAGCGUUGUUCGGAAUUACUGGGCGUAAAGCGUGCGUAGGUGGUUCGUUAAGUCUGAUGUGAAAGCCCUGGGCUCAACCUGGGAAUGGCAUUGGAUACUGGCGAUCUAGAGUGCGGUAGAGGGGUGUGGAAUUCCCGGUGUAGCAGUGAAAUGCGUAGAUAUCGGGAGGAACAUCUGUGGCGAAGGCGACACCCUGGACCAGCACUGACACUGAGGCACGAAAGCGUGGGGAGCAAACAGG
rnacentral:rRNA from 1 species